CACCAGACUCCUACGGGAGGCAGCAGUGGGGAAUAUUGGGCAAUGGAGGCAACUCUUACCCAGCAAUGCCGCGUGAAUGAAGAAGGUCUUCGGAUUGUAAAGUUCUUUAAUUGGGGACGAAAAAAAUGACGGUACCCAAGGAAUAAGCCCCGGCUAACUACGUGCCAGCAGCCGCGGUAAUACGUAGGGGGCAAGCGUUAUCCGGAUUUACUGGGUGUAAAGGGAGCGUAGACGGUUAUGUAAGUCUGGAGUGAAAGCCCGGGGCCCAACCCCGGGACUGCUUUGGAAACUGUGUAGCUAGAGUACAGGAGGGGCAGGCGGAAUUCCUGGUGUAGCGGUGAAAUGCGUAGAUAUCAGGAGGAACACCGGCGGCGAAGGCGGCCUGCUGGACUGAAACUGACGUUGAGGCUCGAAAGCGUGGGGAGCAAACAGGAUUAGAUACCCGUGUACA
rnacentral:rRNA from 1 species